GGGUCAGUAGGUUGGUCGUGCCACCGGUACGUACUGGUCUCACUGAUUCCUCCUUCCUGAAGACCCGUAAUGCCAUUAAUUUGGUGUUGCGGGGAAACAGGACUGUUACUUUGAAAAAAUUAGAGUUUUUAAAGCAAGCUAACGCUUGAAUACAUUAGCAUGGAAUAAUGAAAUAGGACGAUCGAUCCUAUUUUGUUGGUUUCUAGGAUUGAGGUA
rnacentral:rRNA from 1 species